rnacentral:ncRNA from 1 species
AACAAAGCUGAGAUAAGGAAAAAUCUUCUCAUAGCGUGGCAGAGAGCGUUGGUAAGGUGCGAGCAACGUACGUGAAAGGAAGAGGGUAGCCUUUGAGCUGACUUGAUGAAGCAAUCUUUGGAUUGUGUGUAGUUUUGUCCGGUUAACCCCGUUAGAGGUAAUGAGUGAUUGCAACGGCAAUAAUCUAGGUGGUACCGCGGAAGUUAAGCCCUUUCGUCCUAAUG